UUAAGAGCUUGCUCNNUAUGUAAGUAUACGCGCGCGAGACGGGUGAGUCACACGUGGGAUAACCUGCCCAUAACACUGGAUAUAACUCCGGAAAAACCGGGGCUAAUACCGAUAUAACAUUUGUAGAACCGCAUGGUUCGAAAUUGAAGGGCGGCUUCCGCUGUCUCUUAUGGAUGGACCCGCGUCGCAUUAUCUAUUUGGAGAGGUAACGGCUCACCAGGGCAACUAUGCAUACCCGACCUGAGAGGGUGAUCGGCCACUGUGAGACUGACACACGGCCCACACUCCUACGGGAGGCAGCAAUAGGGAAUCUUCCGCAAUGGAAAAAAGUCUGACAGAGCAACCCCGCGUGAGUGAUGAAGGCUUUCAGGUCGUAAAACUCUGUUGUUAGGGAAGAACAAGUGCUACUAGAAUAAGCUGGCACCUUGACGGUACCUAACCAAAAACCCACGGCUAACUACGUGCCAGCACCCGCGGUAAUACAUAUGUGGCAAGCGUUAUCCAGAAUUAUUGGGCAUAAAGCGCGCACGCGUGGUUUCUUAACUCUGAU
rnacentral:rRNA from 1 species